AACGAACGCUGGCGGCAUGCCUAACACAUGCAAGUCGAACGAGACCUUCGGGUCUAGUGGCGCACGGGUGCGUAACGCCUGGGAACUUGCCCUUAGGUUCGGAAUAACUCCCCGAAAGGGGUGCUAAUACCGGAUAAUGUCUUCGGACCAAAGAUUUAUUGCCUUUGGAUGGGCCUGCGUUGGAUUAGCUAGUUGGUAGGGUAAAAGCCUAGCAAGGCGACGAUCCAUAGCUGGUCUGAGAGGAUGAUCCGCCACACUGGGACUGAGACACGGCCCAGACUCCUACGGAGAGCAGCAGUGGGGAAUAUUGGACGAUGGGCGAAAGCCUAAUCCAGCAAUGCCGGGUGAGUGAUGAAGGCGUUAGGGUUGUAAAGCUCUUUUACCCGGGAUGAUAAUGACAGUACCGGGAGAAUAAGCUCCGGCUAACUCCGUG
rnacentral:rRNA from 1 species